rnacentral:rRNA from 1 species
AUUGAACGCUGGCGGCAGGCCUCACACAUGCAAGUCGAACGAGUGGCGGACGGGGGAGUAAUGUCUGGGAAACUGACCGAUGGAGGGGGAUAACUACUGGAAACGGUAGCUAAUACCGCAUACCAUCGGAUGUGCCCAGAUGGGAUUAGCUAGUUGGUGGGGUAAUGGCUCACCUAGGCGACGAUCCCUAGCUGGUCUGAGAGGAUGACCAGCCACACUGGAACUGAGACACGGUCCAGACUCCGACGGGAGGCAGCAGUGGGGAAUAUUGCACAAUGGGCGCAAGCCUGAUGCAGCCAUGCCGCGUGUAUGAAGAAGGCCUGCGGAUUGUAAAGUACGUUCAGCGGGGAGGCGUUACCCGCAGAAGAAGCACCGGCUAACUCCGUGCCAGCAGCCGCGGUAAUUC